GAUGAACGCUGGCGGCGUGCCUAAUACAUGCAAGUCGGACGGUCUACGCAAGUAGAUAGUGGCGAACGGGUGAGUAACGCGUUGGUGACCUGCCCCUUAGAGAGGGAUAACAGCUCGAAAGAGCUGCUAAUACCGCAUGAGAUCGCGAGGAUUAGAAGCUUGCGAUGAAAGCCGAAAGGCGCUGAGGGAGGGACCUGCGUCCCAUCAGCUAGUUGGUGAGGUAACGGCCCACCAAGGCGAUGACGGGUAGGGGACCUGAGAGGGUGACCCCCCACAAUGGAACUGAAACACGGUCCAUACACCUACGGGAGGCAG
rnacentral:rRNA from 1 species